rnacentral:rRNA from 1 species
GGAGAAAGAAAGAGGGGGAGAAAAUUGUGGAUAAUGAGAGGAAAUCUCUCAAUAAUACAAAAAUUGUAGCAAUGUAUAAAUGAAUAGACUUGCUACUGAUAAGCUGGGUAACCAGCGGCCCCUCAUCUGACUCUUAUGUAUCAAUUAGACUUUAGGGUAAGGGCCUAAAGUGAUGAUAACGCAUACAGAGAAUUAGGGUUCGAUUCUGGAGAGGGAGCAUGAGAGAUGGCUACCACUUCUAAGGAAGGCAGCAGGCGCGCAAAUUGCCCAAUGUGGAAAUCACGAGGCAGCGAACAUCAAUAACAAUGAGAGACUGAAUAACAGUUUUUCAAUUGGAAUGAGAUAUGAGAAGAGAAAAAAGCGAGAAACAAGU